rfam:Ovis aries breed Texel chromosome 6, whole genome shotgun sequence.
UCCCUGGUGGCUCAGCGGUUAAAGCGUCUGCCUCCAAUGCAGGAGACCUGGGAUCGAUCCCUGGGUCGGGGAG